GUUACCAGCGCGAGUGUGCAUUUAUCUCCUCCAGAAUGGUAGAAUGGCCAAAGCUGUCGAAAAUGUUGUGGAUUUUUUGGGUUGAAGAACCAUUUUCAUUCUCUGGGGUACACGGAAAAGGUGCGAAUUAAAAGCGAGGGUCGACCUCUGCUUGAGAUCAGUUUCAUGAAGAAGAAAGAAAGAUGGAUCGUAAUGAUGAGAGAAUAAAAAGAGCUUUAAGACGCCGCCCUUAUGUGUUGAAACCAGUGAGGGUGAACAGCCCUGAUUCCGUGUUGUGGCCAACCGGCAAGGUGCACAGAAGGCCAAAGCCUUCUACUUCAGUGCAGACCCCUCAGAUCCACAAAAGGCCUGUAAGUCACAUUCAAAUUCAACCACAUAACAGUA